CCGAGAGCCGCCAGACCUGGGUCGGUGCCGCCUGGCGGUCGGGGCCGGGACCUAGGGAGGGGCGGGCCACCCAGAAUCGCCGGGCGGCGGGAUGGGUGGCGAUGGCCUGGCGCCCUUCUUGCUCUUCUUCUCGCGCUUUCCCGGCUUUCGCGGGUUCUCCCCGCCGGCGUCCCACCCCUCUGCACGCCGGGCCUCGGUGGCGUUGCCCGGCGGAGCCCGGGGCCGGGCGGGCGCACAGGCCGGCCGAGCUUCACCGGCGGCGGCGCUGCGCCCGCGCUCUGCGGCCUGGGGCGGCCCUGCCGGGCUUCUGCGUGGGGCUGCUGCAGCGGUGCCUGCACCCGGUGUGCGGGACACGGAUGGCGCCCCGGCCAGGAGCCUCAGCCGCGCGGAGUCUGCGCCCCCGGGAGACGCCUGCCCCGCGGCUGGCUGGAGGCCGGACCACCGCGCUGUCAGCAGAAGGUCUUCAGCCCAUCGAUUUCGCUGCCCUGUGCGCUACUCAACGUUUACAAAACAAUCCGCACUGGGAUUUGUUUUUCAAAAUGUGCUUUCUUCUGGGCUACCGAAAAUUAAAGCUACUACACAUUCCUUGCUGAUGCGCCACUAGGUAAGACUCAUAAGGGAACACUGCGGAGGUGACAGAGGAAUUGUGCAGGAAUUUUAAGUCAGUUCAAGCUUCUGGCUCCUUUCCCCGCUCCAUGAGAUUUUAAGCGAUGGUGACCACUCUCAUGGCUUCAGCAUUGACGAGGCUUGAAAAUCCGUGCUAAAGUCUUGUUUUGCUUCUCCUAUUCCUCAUAAGAUGGAUUUAUGAAGUCUGGCUUGCAUGGCUUGUAAGAGUGCUGGUGGAGGUGCUCAUGUCACAGUUCAGCUCCGAGAGCAGGACAGCUAUGCCAGCAAGGGUGGGAAGCAUCGGGCCUCUUGAUGGCUGGCCUGCUCACUGGCCCUGCACAGCUGUCUGGAUUGUAAAUUCAUCCUCAGCCCUGGCUCAGAGGCCCACUGUCUGACACCAGGACUGGCAGCUGUGGUUUCCAGUUCCUACAUGGUGACGCUGGAAAAGACUUUAAAUCAACUCCAUAUUCAGUGAGCAUUGAGUGUGAACUAAUCAUUCAGUAGGUUAACAGACCUCGGCUCCUUCAGAACAUAAAAUGAGCCACUAUUCUUAAAGCUAGUUGGAAGUCAUGCCAGUGCUUCCUGCCCACAUUCACCUGUUCGUUGGCACUUUGGUGUCCCUCCAAUCUGCUGUUUCCCCCAUCUUCUAGGACUGUGUGACAUCUGAGCUCUGGACUUACUGAGGUGCUGCCUGGCCGUAUGGUUUCACCAGCAGCUGGAGUGCUCAACACAGUCCUCUUGUUCCUCUGAAAUGGCCACUGGGCUUCAGUUUGUUUCCAUUCUCCUGGCCCCAAGGGCUCACCUCUUUUAUGACUGACCUUAUUCCUGUGGUGGCCACUGCCUUCCACUGUGAGGGCCAGGUGAUUUCUCAGCCUGCCACGGGCCACCAGCCCUAUUGCCAAGCCUCUGACAUUCCCUGUGCAACCACUCCAUCACCCAGGUAACCACAGCCUGACAGCAGGUGGGUCAGGUGGGUCAGGGAAGGCAGGGUCCUGGUCUCUGCCCUUCAGGGUCCUGCUCUAAGCUUUAAAGGGGAAAGAAAGCAGAACAAGUGAGCAUAAGACUACAUGGAAAGAGAAGUGGUUCCCUGACAGCACUCAAGAUUCCUUCUCAUGGGCCUCUGAGGUCAGAGCCCAGGUGCUCUAAGCAUUUAUGGAGCUCAGUCUGGAGUUUCUAAUUCCAUAAUUCCAAAAACAGUUUUGAAGAAGCUUUUUUUUUUCUCCAUUAUGUAAGGUCCUUGGUAAGCAUCUGGAAGGCCAUCUUAAAUGACAGCCCCCCUUUUAAGAAGAAUUUUACUUUCCCACCCAAGGGCUUUUCUGAGAAAGGCUCACUUCUCCCUCAUACCAACCCCACCCUUCACCACUGGCAUGAGGACUGGCCUGGCUCUAAUCCCUGAGCCUGCCCCAUAAAAGUCCCAAACCCAGGCCUGUUUUGCCUCUCUCCAUCUAUGGAGAGAUGGCCUUUAUUUAUUUAUUUAUGGAGAGAUGGCUCUGAUAAAUAAACUCUCGUGUGUGUCUCUGCCUGGUCUCUGCUUUCAUUUCUUGCUUGCCUGUCUCCCAGUUCCUCACUUUCCUGACAUUGGUACCGAAACCCAGGAUUGGGUUCCCCAAUGUGCCCGCUCCCCUCUUUGAGGUCACUAAGCAUCCCUAGGCCCCAGUUUGAAUUCCAUCAUGGGACCAGGUCCUCCAUUCUGCUAAAUGACCUCUCUGCACCCACCACUGGACAUUGCACAUAAGACAGCUGUCUCCAGUUAACCUAAAGGAUUCUUGAAACAUUCGGCACUCCCAGGGUUACUGUGUGGUCUGGGGCACCCCAGCCACAGCUUCACAGCUACAGCUGAUCCCUACUGUCAACCGAGUCUAUAGGUCAUCUUUUAUUUGGGUCCUGGGUUUUGAGCUCUCUCUCACCCUGGACCUAACCCCCCCCAAAACUUAUCCACUUGUGCAAUCAGAUGUGGCCUCAAUAUCUUGUGGAUAAUGACUCUACAUGGCUGCUUAAUGGCACUCUAGAUCCCAAUAUUAUCAGGGAUCUUUUCAACUAUUGUGAGCAUUCAGGAAAAUGGAAAGAGAUAUCAUACAUUCAGGCCUUCUCCUUUCUAUGUUCUGAGCCCUCUCUCUGCAACUCUUGUCCUCACGCACAAGUCCUCUUAGCUCUCACCUACCCUACGCCUGCCUCCAAAGGGACAGAAAAUCCUACCCAGGACACCUCCUCCUUCAACCUAGCAGAUGAGCCCUCACCAUGGCACAACCCUCUUUCUGAUGAAGCCACCGCAGCAAUUGUCCCCUCGGCCCCUCCAUCCUUUCCUCUUGGUACUGACUCAUGGGCUGCCACUGCCCAACCCGAAUCUCUGUGCCCUCUAUGCAAGCUGGCUGGGGUAGAUGCUGUCAUCCGGUUCAUGUGCCUUUCUCUUUGUCAGAUCUUUCACAGAUAGAAAAGUGGCCUGGACCCUAUACUUCAAGCCCCCCCACAUAUAUCAAAGAGUUCCAAUAUCUGACCCAAUCAUAUGAUUUAACCUCCCACGAUGUCCAUAUGACCUUGCCUAACACCCUCCUGCCUGAGGAGCACAGGAGAGUCUGGGAGCAAGCUAGAAAUUAUGCUGAUGAGGUACAUCAGCCCUCCCCUGCCCAUCCGAUGGGCACUGAAGUGGUCCCUGAUUGGGACCCCAUCUGGGAUUAUGAUUCACCUGGAGGAGUAACUAGUAGAAACCAACUCAUUACUUGCCUCAUGGCAGGACUUAGAAAGGCGGCCCAUAAGGCUAUCAAUUAUGAAAAGCUCCAGGGAGUCCUCCAAGUUAAGAAUGAAACUCUACAUUUUCAGACCCCCUGACCCAGGCUUUAUUACAGUACACUAAUCUGCCUCCUGACACUCCAGAUGGGAGACCACU
rnacentral:lncRNA from 1 species